UACGAAGGGGGCUAGCGUUGCUCGGAAUCACUGGGCGUAAAGCGCACGUAGGCGGCUUAUUAAGUCAGGGGUGAAAUCCUGGAGCUCAACUCCAGAACUGCCUUUGAUACUGAUGAGCUUGAGUCCGGGAGAGGUGAGUGGAAUGCCGAGUGUAGAGGUGAAAUUCGUAGAUAUUCGGCGGAACACCAGUGGCGAAGGCGACUCACUGGCCCGAUACUGACGCUGAGGCGCGAAAGCGUGGGGAGCAAACAGGG
rnacentral:rRNA from 1 species